CAUUUGUCAGCUCCUUCAAGGUCCUUGGUGGCUUCCUCUAAGUCUCAUCUUUUCCAAGUUAGUCAAAGACUAUGAGAACACAGACACUGCCAUUUGGCCUACACAAACCGACAAAGCUGUGCUAACUCCUGAUUGUCCCAAGAGGUUGCCAAAGGCUUCUUUGUGCUGACAUCAUGUCUACCAUCUUGCUUGAACCUUCCCUCGGGGUGGACUGGAAAGGUGUGUCAACAGGAGUGGUGAGCUAGCAGUUGAGCAGCCCUGCUCCAUCUACCAUCAUUGUCUGUCUCGGCGAGAGCCCAGGAGCAAUGCAGUCAGCCAAGCAGUCGUGGACUGAGACCUUCGGGGCUGUGGGAGGCAAUGAGUCUACCCUCGCUUGGAUUCACAUUUUAGAAAAUAUUUAGGCCCCUUGAUCCACCAGAGACCACGCUGGCUGACAGACUUCCAGGUAGGCCGGACUUCCCCAACUCUCUCAGUGCCUGUCCACACUACCCCCAUUGUCCCUUCCUGGACUCAUCAUCAAAGCCCAGCCCCCAACUCCACCGGAAGUUCCCCUGCUCAGCCCGAGGCCACCCAGACCAUCACCCAUCAGAAAUCCAGCCUCAACUCAAGAAGAGACCCUGCGCUCAACCACAGGUCACACUGGCCUGAAGACCAGGAAGAAACCAGAAACCAAGAGAGGAACCAACCAUCCAACAAGGACAAACUCAGAAGUCGGCACUUAGACCUGUAAUCACCCUGAACCCAGAUGCCUAGGCUCCAGCAUCAGAAUGCAAUUGACAACAGCCAGGACAAUAUGCCAACACCAGAGCCCGGGUAUGCUGCUCCAGCAAGGCCUGAAUAUUCCCACGCAUCUGAUGCACUAGAAAGUGACCUUAAAACCAACUUUAUGAAGAUGCUAAAGAGGAGGGGAUUUGUUCGUUUCCUUAAAGAGUUAAAAGGGGGUGAACGGUACAUUCACAUCAAUGUGGAGCCAAGACGAAGGUCAAGGAACUGGGAAGCUCCAGGCUUCAGGCAGCACUCAGUCAAGCUUCAGGAUCUGUGAUGUUUCUCCAGCCCUCGGCUCCGCACUGUCUACAUCAGCUCCUUUCUCCCCAGUGCUGACAACAUUCUUACCUUCCUACCCUUUCAGAUUCAGGAAGAAAAGUCUCUUUCUGACAGGGACCGUGCUUGGAACAUCCAGGGAGCGGAGUGUCCAGUCCUGAUCAGGGAUCGGAGUCCCCCACCCUAAGUACACAGGUAGGGUGUGGAGGGGCUCACUUAGAGAAAUUCUGAGAUGGAACCAAGGAAAAGGGACUCAGAUGCUGGUCCCCUCUGUCGUCCUUGGGCCCCACAGGGUGCCACAUGGCAAGACCCUGCCAUGUUCACGGUUUUUACUGUAAUGUGUCCUACUGGGAAACUGGCAAGAGAGAGGUGUGAGAGAUUGGUGACCAAGGACGUGUGUAACUGAAGACACACAGGGAAAACGACUUCCACAAGAUGGCAAUGUUUUUGCACCAAUGCAGGGAGGAAAACUUUGGAAGGAUGCUGUCUUAGUCACCUUUCUGUGGGUGUAAUAAAACGCAAAGGUGAAGGCAAUUUUCAGGAGAGUAGAUUAGCUGUGGUUCACAGUUCAACGGUGGCCCGUCAAAGUUGGGAAGACUAGGAAGCGGGAGCUUGGAGUAGCUGGUCACAUCUCUAUUCGGGGGGUGGGGGUGGGGGGGUGGAGGGUGCGGUAAUGAAACUGCCAUGGCUGCUCCAUGGUGUGGUUAAGAUCUUAUUGCAGGUAUGAGAACAGCCAGAGGCUUCCGGGAGAGUCAGAGCAGAGACUGGACAUGGCCAGGCCUAGGGAAGUGACAGAGUGGGAGAGAAUAGUGGAGAGAGAGAGAGAGAGAGAGAGAGAGAGAGAGAGAGAGAGCCAGAACAGUGGGAACAGCCAGGUUAUAAGGAUGAGUAGCUGGGGAAAGCUACUUGGGGAAAGCCUUGAGCUGGGGGAGGAGCCUGUGAGCUAGGGGAGGAGCCUGUGAGCUGGGGGGUUAGUUUAGGGUAGGGGAAGAUAUGAGAAGGGCUGGGAUGCUGGUGUGGAUGGUGAAACAUACAAAAGCUAUUUGUGAUGCUGAGGAGCCUGGAGGCCAGCAUGGGCUUUGAUUCACUGACAGGCACCACCGGUAGUCAUAUGUCCCUUCUGCCAGAGGUAAGAGAAUGACUCCUUUUGGCAGAUGGGAACCAGUUUCACAAGUUCCUAAGGAAUGCUGGCUUUUAUCUAGCUGUCAGAAAUCCUCUGAUAGUCCAGGUUGAGCUCAUUUCUGGAUGUUUGGACUGCCUUUCGCAGUUAGGGGAGCUAGAGUUUCCUUUGGACCUGACAACAUUGAAUCUACAAUCAGGAAGCAGAAAUGGAUGGAUGCCUAUGCUCUGCCUACUUCUUCAUGUGUGUGUGAGUGUGUGUGUGUGUGUGUGUGUGUGUGUGUGCGCGUGCAUGCGUGCGCGUGUGUGUGUGUGUGUGUCUCUGUGUGUGUCUGUGUGUGUGUUUGUGUGUGUGUGUGAGUGUGUGUGUGUGUAUGUCUGUGUGUAUGUCUGUGUGUGUGUGUGAUUGUCUGUGCGUGUGUGUAUGUUUGUGUGUGUGUGUGUAUGUGUGUGUGUGUGUAUGUGUGUGUGUGUCUGUGUGUGUGUCUGUGUGUGUGUGUGUGUCUGUGUGUGUGUGUGUGUCUGUGUGUGUGUGUGUGUGUCUGUGUGUGUGUGUCUGUGUGUGUGUGUGUGUGUGUGUGUCUGUGUGUGUGUGUAUGUCUGUGUAAGUGUGUGUGUGUGUGUCUGUGUGUCUGUGUGUGUGUGUGUGUGUGUGUCUGUGUGUGUGUGUCUGUGUGUGUGUGUGUGUGUGUGUGUGUGUACUCCUGGGUCUCCACCAGGGAAUGGUGCCAUCUACUAUAGGUGAGUUGUCUCACCUUAAUUAAUGAAAUCAAGAUGUCUUAGGGUUUUCAUUGCUGUGAAGAGACGCCAUUACCACAGCAACUUGUAUAAAGAAAACGUUUAAUUAGGAUGGCUCACUUACAGUUUCAGAGGUUCAGUCCAUUAUCAUCAUGGCAGGGAGCCUGGCGGCGUGCAGGUAGAUGUGACGCCAGAGAUAAGAGUCCCACAUCUUGGAGGGCAACAGGAACUCAACUAACUGUGACACUGAGCAAAGCUUAAGCCAUCAACGCCGCUCCACAGUGACAAACUUCCUCCAGCAGGGUCACACCCACUCCAAAGAAGCCACACCUCUGAAUAGGGCCACUCCCUAUGAGAUUAUGGGGGCCAACACCACACAAGAGAAUCCACACACGCAUGCGCACGUUUAGAGAUACAGCUCCCAGGUUAGUUGUCAGCUUGACAGCACCCUCACACCAGGUGUCCUGGGCACUCAUACUGACCCUCUCACUGCUAGCCCAUAGAAAAGAUUAGUCAGAACUUCCUAAAUGACUUAAAAAUAUUUUCCAGAAAUGGACAAUACCAGAACCAAGCAUGUUUGUAACCCCCACACUCAGGAGACAGAGACAGGGUGACUGCAUACCGAGUCAGAGGCCAGCCUAAGCUACACAACAGCCUGUUUUGGAAACAACAACAACAAAAAUAGGCUGGAGACAUCUUUAAUCCCAGCACUCAUGAGGCACAAGGUGGAGUCCCCUGACAGUUGGAGGCCAGCCUGAUCUACAGGGUGAGUUCCAGGCCAGCCAGGGCUGCACAGUGAACCUUUGUCUCAUUAAAGAAAAGAAAAGAAAAGAAAAGAAAAGAAAAGAAAAGAAAAGAGCAAGAUGGUAGCACAUAUUCUUUAUCUUCCUUUAUCCUGUACUUAAAUGUUGAUACAAGUAUGCAUAUGUAUACAGCUGAAAGACCCCCGGAGGCUUGGUCCCCAGGAUCUCGGUCCAGGACCACGGCCACCCCAAUCACCAGGUGGAGGCGAAAGCUUGAUGCAAACCACACGAGGCUUUAUUGUAGUUGUUUAAUGAGCUAACCCCAUGUUAGCUCGGGUCUUUCAUCCACCCACCAUGGCGGAUGGCUAGAAAAGACAGCUCGAAGCACCUGCAUAGAGAUCUUGUAGGGCAGCAUAAGGGGAGUGUCUAGGGGUACACACAGGCUCAGGAUUGGUGUGCCUCCAGGCUUGGAGGGCUUGCCCUGUGUUGAUUGGCCAACUGGUUGUUAUGGCCCAUAGGCCCUCCCAGGGUGGUUGCUAUGCUCUGUGCAUCAUUGCUGUGCACUUGUCUGUAAAGUACACCCAGAGCCGUAAAUCAUAGCACCACCAGAUAACUUCUGAUUGGUUCCUUGCCACAAGUCAGGCACCUGACCUCCUAGUGACCAAGGCAAGAUCAGGCAAGCACGUGUUAGGCUGUUAUGGCUGCUGAAAUGGGGAGCUGGUCCCUUCACAGCUAUACAUAUGUGUGUAUAGAAGUACUUAAGUAUGUAGAUGCUUGCAUGUGUUAUGUGAAGGUGUUAUAGUUUGGAUAUUGAGUAUCUCCCAAAAGCAUAUAUUCUAAACGUUUGGUCCCCAGGAGAGUACUACUGGGAGCUGGUGGAACCUUUGGGAAGUGAGGUGUUGUUGGCAGAGUUUUCAUCACACCAGCCAGCUCUGUCCAGCCAGCCAGCUCCCAAAUAAUCACACAGAGACUUAAUGAUGCUGGGCCAAUAGCUUAGGCUUAUUACUAACCAGCUCUUACAUCUUAAAUCAAUGCAUAUUCUUAUCCAUGCUCUACCAUGUGGAGGUACCUUGUUUCAGCUGGGCGUGUUCAUCUCCUGCUUUCUCUGCAUCUCACUGGUGACCCCCCAUUAUAAGGUGAAUACCAAUAUGGAGCCAGAAGAGAUAUUAAGGUAUGUUUAAUGAGUGAAUUACCAAUACAGAGUCAGGUAAAGAUAUUAAGGUAUUUAUUAGGGAGAUGCCUUACUUACAGAGAGCAACCUAGCCAGCAGGCAGGGCACGGAGUAAGUGCAGCAAGCCAAUAGUGAAAAGGAAGAAGGGGCUCCCAUGUGCAUGCCUCUCACUCUUAAACCUUCCCCCAUGUCACCCUGACCACGCCCUGGUGGGCAUGGUCGGGCACACCUGUAGCCAGCCCCGAGGAGGCGUGUCCCCUGUACCCCAUGACUGUGCCCGUCUUCUUUCCAGUGUCCUCUCAGUGUGGCUCUCAGUUCAGCUCCUCCGCCUAGCUAUUCAACUCUUUAUUAGACCAAUGAGAGGAAUACAUAGUCACAGUGACCACAAAGGAUUAUUCCAUAGUCUAAGUGUUAAGACUCACUUAGAAGUGGGCAGUGCCCCCUCUCCUUCUCCGGCCCCACCCCUGCCGGCCCCAGCUCUGCCCUCAG
ensembl:lncRNA